rnacentral:lncRNA from 10 species
GCUGUAUCGAUUGUUGAGAUCUGGCGACUUGUUUAAAUUUCAUCAGCCUCACUUCUAUGAACUCUCAGGCCUCACGUGUACCAGCUCUCUGCUCUCCUUUGCCUUGGGACGUUCCAUCCCUGGAAGUUUCCCUGCCCACAUCUUUGUAGAGAGUCCAUUCUCCAAGCUUCAGUGUGUCAUCUGUGAGGACCGUGACCCACCUGGUACAUCGCCUCAGGGCAUUCAUUUCAGGCUCCUUCUAAAUGGCCAAGAGACAACACCAACAUUUUUGUAAUGGCCUGCAAGGCCUUCCGAGAUCUACCUCCUGCAACUCAGCUUCUCCUGUGCUCUCCUUCUGGACUCACUCUGCCUCAGCAACACUGGUCCCUGUUGCCCCACCAAUAUGCCAGGCACCCUUGGAAAUGCAAUGCUACAUCUCAAUGGGAUUUUCCAGUACAAAGAUUCUUUUCAAAUAACAUAAUUGUGGAUACACACCACUCCUACAGUGGUAAACCUCAGGUUCUCCUCCUGCCUUUUGCUAAGUAUAUGUCUUGAUGACAAGCCUUCUGCUGAUGAGCUGUGUUUCUGGACCGAUCAUGGUAGAAGUCAAUUAACGUGUCCCUCACUUGGGGUUUCUCAAGGCUGCACUGAUGAGGAAACUGAAACAGAAAAUCCAGAGUAAAUUCCACCAGGCCACACAGCAAGGUCUGAUAGAGCCAGGAGAGACUUUAUGAAAUCCAGACUCUCACACUAAUGCUCUAUCAGCUAGACCUCCAUGUGAGUCUCCCCAAUGUAGGUAGGAAGUGCUUUCCC